rnacentral:rRNA from 1 species
GGGGUAACGGAUUGCUUAUUGCACCACAUGUGUUUUUUAUUGAACAAAUUUCUUUGGUGGCGGGAGCAAUCCUACCGCCAGAGGUUAUAACUAAACCAAACUUUUUAUUUACAGUCAAACUUGAUUUAUUAUUACAAUAGUCAAAACUUUCAACAACGGAUCUCUUGGUUCUCGCAUCGAUGAAGAACGCAGCGAAAUGCGAUACGUAAUAUGAAUUGCAGAUAUUCGUGAAUCAUCGAAUCUUUGAACGCACAUUGCGCCCUUUGGUAUUCCAAAGGGCAUGCCUGUUUGAGCGUCAUUUCUCCCUCAAACCCCCGGGUUUGGUGUUGAGCAAUACGCUAGGUUUGUUUGAAAGAAUUUAACGUGAAAACUUAUUUUAAGCGACUUAGGUUUAUCCAAAAACGCUUAUUUUGCUAGUGGCCACCACAUUUUAUUUCAUAACUUUGACCUCAAAUCGGGUAGGACUACCCGCUGAACUUAAGCAUAUCAAUACGCGGAAGAAAAA